CCCUUAGAUGUUCUGGGCCGCACGCGCGCUACACUGAUGCAUUCAACGAGUCUAAAACCUGCUCUGAUAGGGGUGGGUAAUCUUUUGAAUGUGCAUCGUGAUUGGGAUAGAUGAUUGCAAUUUUUCAUCUUCAACGAGGAAUGCCUAGUAAACGCAAGUCAUCAGCUUGCAUUGAUUACGUCCCUGCCCUUUGUACGCACCGCCCGUCGCUCCUACCGAUUGAAUGAUCCGAUGAAUAUCAUGGAUUGAGGAUGCAAGCAGGUUCGCCUGUCUUCAUCUUCGAGAAGUGAAGUAAAUCUUAUCAUUUAGAGGAAGGAGAAGUCGUAACA
rnacentral:rRNA from 1 species